GUGUUGGGAUUUGAGAUAGCUAACGCUAGCUACACUGCUAUGGAGAGAUAAACACUGGGCUGGGUUGCAACAUUUUGUUGAGCUGGAGGGGACUACGCAGGUCAAUUCAAUGGGAGAUGCCUUAUGAGGCAGCUGUAAACGGCUCGUCACUGUAAAAUUUAUAGAUGAGUUUGUUCUGGGUGAGGAGACGUUCCACGGGGUUUUCCAGUAAAUGGAAGCUGCUGGUUUACCCUGAGCUCUACAGACGGCAAAAGUGUGACCAUCUUUAUCCUUUUCCAGCCAGCCAGUCAGUGUCGGACGGUCUAAAAGAUGAUCAGAGAGAGACUUUUUAACAAGACAGGAAGUAACACUUCAAAUCUGCAUCAUGUAGAGAAAUGUAGCUGCAUAGCUUUGCUGGGUAUAUGGGAGCAUUUCACUUCAAAGUCUAAUCAGUACCGAAAUCAGGUGAGAAAUGUUAAACCGGGUCAAAUUUCCUUUAUGAAAUUUUCAAGAAAUAUAUUUUGAUAUAGCAUGCCAAAAUGACAAUUCAACACUAAUGAUUAUUCUCUCUCUCUCUCUCUGUGCUUGUGUGUUUGUUUGUUUGUUUGUUUGUUUGUUUGUUUGUUUGUUUGUUUGUUUGUUUGUUUGCAUAGGACUGCAUUACCAGUAAAUAGGUCUGGACAGCAGUCAGUGGAAUUUCCUGUCUUUUGCCGGUGACGUAACUGCUGAAGGAAAUUUUUCAUUAUGGAAUUGAAAUUGUCCAAUAUAAUCUGCCCAUGCCUUAGAUGAAGUGAGCAGUCAUGUGAUCAUGGUUCUUCUUUACUUUAUGGUAUUUACCAACUGCUUUAAAUAUAUUCCUCAUACUGUACUGUAAUUAUUUUUUUAUUUUAUCUUUCUAUUUAAUAUAUGUAGGCUUGUGUUUUUUUUAUGUUUUUUUAUCUUGUACACAAGGGCUAUCUUUCCUUGGAGCUUUAGUUAAUGCACUAAAAGAAUAAGAGGAUUGCAGGUCUACAUAUUAAUUGUAUGCUCUGUCACUGUGCACUGCAAGCGCCUUUAAAAUCAAACAUAUAUUUCUUGUAUGUGCAAAAUAAGCCUGCUGUUUUUGCACAACACAGACUUUAAAGUCAGGCUAAGAAAGUACUUAAUUUAGACUUUUUUUUUCCAUCUCAGUUUAAUCAACUUAUUUUAGUUAAAUCCCAAACACAUCAGUGAAUGGUAAUUUGCUGUUUAUUAUCUGCAGUAUAGAACCCCGCCUAUUACAUGGGGGCAUGUCUUCAUAUUCUCAGACUCCUGAAUGGAGAGUUGUGGUAUUAAUGGGAUUUUAACUCAGGGUAUAUUCUGAAAAAAAAAAAGUAUAUUUACUUAGAACUCAGUGCAGAACUCAGCGAUUAUUUGAUUAUAAUGACAACAUAUUGUGGUGCUGAUUAUUUUUAAUUGUACAGCUAAUAUCAGUAAGCAUGCAGCAAACCAAGCUCUUUUUGAGUUUGUUCGAGAAAUAUACAAAUACCUUCUCAGCGUAUAACAACAAUAAAGAGAGACAGACAUUGUGCUUAUCA
rnacentral:lncRNA from 1 species